AAUGGUCGAGAUUAAGCCAUGCAUGUCUCAGUACAGGCCUUCAUACGGUGAAACCGCGAAUGGCUCAUUAAAUCAGCUAUGGUUUAUUGGAUCAUACCCGUUAAAUGGAUAACUGUAAUAACUCUAGAGCUAAUACAUGCCUCGAUGCCCUGACCCUGUUCUCUUGCGGCUCCUCGUAGCUGCAAUUGUGGACAAGGGAGGGGUGCACUUAUUAGAUCAGAAGCCAACCGGCGUUGCGUGUGUAUUCACGUGCGCUGAAGCACUUCUGGUGACUCUGGAUAAUUGUUACAGAUCGCAGUCGGCCUUGAGUCGGCGACGGGUCCUUCAAAUGUCUGCCCUAUCAACCUUCGAUGGUAGGUGACCUGCCUACCAUAGUAAUAACGGGUAACGGGGAAUCAGGGUUCGAUUCCGGAGAGGGAGCCUGAGAAACGGCUACCACUUCCAAGGGAGGCAGCAGGCGCGCAAAUUACCCACUCCCAGCACGGGGAGGUGGUGACGAAAAAUACCGAUGCGGGACUCCUUCAAGAGGCUCCGUAAUCGGAAUGAGUGGACUCUAAAUCCUUUCACGAGGAUCAAUUGGAGGGCAAGUCUGGUGCCAGCAGCCGCGGUAACUCCAGCUCCAAUAGCGUAUAUUAAAGUUGCUGCAGUUAAAAAGCUCGUAGUUGGAUCUCGGUGGCAUUGUUGUCUGCUGGUAUUUGAGCGGCUGGUGUGUGGUUGGCGGCACAUGGUUGCUGUGUCUGUCUGUUGCCUGUAUGCCGCAGUAUGUCACGGCUUUGCCCUGUGUCAAGUCACGGUGGUGGGUCGGGGCAGCUGGCGUGUCGGUGGUGGACGGCCAGUGGCUGUGUUGUCGUUGCCAUUGAAAAGCACUGUCGUGUCAAGCUGGCAAGGUGAUGGUGUCACCUUUAAGCCAUGUCUGUGGUCUGGCAACAGCCACAGGUGUAGGGCGGGUGUUGGACAGUGCCCUACACACGCUGUGGGGGUCUGUCGGCUCGUCUGCAUGCCUUUGGAUGCCCU
rnacentral:rRNA from 1 species